AAAACACAUCGACGUAAUUUGCCCGAUGUAGGAAAAAAGGCUAUGUAACAACAAAAUACAGAUACAAAAUUACAACAAUUGUAUGUGUAUUUACAUCGCCUAGAAAUUACACAGGAAAAUGAAAUCCAUUUAACAUCACGUUACUUUCGUGUAAUAAAGACAUACAGGCAAUGAUAUUAUUACAUCGAAACGUAUGCAACCAUCUGAUUCUAAUAUGCGUGUUUAUUAUUACACACAUUUUAUUUAAUAUUGCGUUGAAUAAAAACGCAAUAUUAAAUCUGGCUGCACUUCUCUAACUCAGCUCCAGUUUGUCAAGGUGCCAUCUUGAAAUAGUUCGUGAAAAUUCAUGGAACUUGCAGGUUUAGGUUUUAGGCAUCUUUUUGUUUGUUUCAAGAUUUUGAAGUUGAAUAUUUGUAGCUUUAUCAAAUACCUAGUAAUUGUCCACAUCAUCCAGAACCGUAUAAGAUGAUUAUGGAGUUCUGUAUUUCAAAACGGCUGAGAACUUUCAGAAUGAUCAGUCUGGAAUCAGCUAAUUCACGGUUGGAUAUACGGAUAAAUUACCGGAGAAGCCAAACCUUAUCCGCGAUGCCGUAUUUUCUUGAAUGGAUCGUGGAAAAGAGACCAAUUCUCGGUGAAAGUGUCCGACUUCUGUGCGCCCAUUACCAAGACCUGCUCCCAAUAUUUAGGCUAUGUGGCAUGGAAAUAGGAAAGCGACGAGUCUGGGGUUGAACUCACGACGGCAAAAGCGGUAGCAACAAUACCACCGAGCUCGUCUUAACCCAAUCAUCGGUCUAUGUGGCCGGCAUAAAGCUAUCCCGCUUGUACAACUAUCCUGACAUGAUGAAGUUAUUUUGCCAUAAAGCCCAUUUCAGUAUCGGGUCGGGUGUGCUUAGAAAUUUGGAGCAACGAAACAAGAUCGUAUGACGUCGUCCAAGAACACUUUUCCUCGCCGCUAUCCUGGGAAUUUCGAAUGAGAUGCCGCUCAUUUCUCGCCAUGCCAUUUCACUGGCUCGGAAGUUUAUGUCCAGGAUGACUCGCUUUCCCUCGCUAGGUAUGCUAUGACCAUUACAAGAGCUGUGGAUGGACCGAUCAGGACAAUGAGGGCAUCUUGAUGAGAGGGCUUCCAUUCGACGAACAAUCACCCUCGGUGUGAAUAAUGCUCAUCCACAGUGAAAUCAAUUAUUUAUUAAUUUGUUCAAUUUCACAACACCGCUUCUGCAGUAGAAAAACCCCGAUUUCUGACCAUAAAAAUAAUUUUCUUUAUACAAAUUGCUGUAAUAGAAUAUACAAAAUAAGAGCAAUAAAAUAAUAUUUA